rnacentral:rRNA from 1 species
CAAUCGAACUAGGAGAUAGCUCGUUCUCUCCGAAAUGCAUUUAGGUGCAGCCUUGGUUGAAGAUAUGCGGGGGUAGAGCACUGUAUGGCCUAGGGGGCGUAUAGCUUACCGAAGUCAAGCAAACUGCGAAUACCGUAUAUUGUUUACCGGGAGUGAGUCUACGGAUGACAAGGUCCGUGGACGAGAGGGGAACAGCCCAGACCGCCGGCUAAGGUCCCAAAUCAUGUCUAAGUGGGAAAGGAGGUGGAUAUUCAUAGACAACCAGGAGGUUGGCUUAGAAGCAGCCAUACCUUGAAAGAGUGCGUAAUAGCUCACUGGUCGAGAGUAUCUGCGCCGAAGAUAUAACGGGGCUAAGACAUGAACCGAAGCCGCGGAAGCGUGGUAACACGUUUGGUAGGAGAGCGUUCUGUAGGCCGUAGAAGGUGUUCUGGAAGGGAUGCUGGAGGUAUCAGAAGUGAGAAUGCAGGAAUGAGUAGCGAGAAGGAGGGCGAGAAUCCCUCCGGCCGGAAGUCCAAGGUUUCCAGGGGAAGGUUUGUCCGCCCUGGGGGAGUCGGGACCUAAGCAUAAGCAGAGCUGCGAAGGCGAAUGGAAAACAGGUUAAUAUUCCUGUACCGCUGUGGACUGAUUGAGAGAUGGAGUGACGCAGGAAGGUAUGCGGGAAGGCUGACGGAAUAGCCUUUCUAAGGGUGAAGCGUGGACAUAUAGGCAAAUCCGUAUGUUUAAACGUGAGGCCUGAUGGGUAAGUGCAUUAUGGCAUAAGCCGCAGAUCCUACACUGCCGAGAAAAACUUCUAUUUAGGGAAACAGUGCCCGUACUGUAAACCGACACAGGUGGACAGAGUGAGAAACUUAAGGCCGACAGGACAACUCUGGCUAAGGAACUCUGCAAAAUGGCCCCGUAACUUCGGGAGAAGGGGUACCCGUGUUAACUGAAGAGAGAGACACUUGGAGGUGAAGCGGGUCGCAGUGAAGAGUCCCAAGCAACUGUUUACCAAAAACACAGGUCUAUGCUAAGCUGGAAGGCGACGUAUAUGGGCUGACACCUGCCCAGUGCCGGAAGGUUAAGAGGAGGAUUGAGAGAUUCGAAUUGAAGCCCCGGUGAACGGCGGCCGUAACUAUAACGGUCCUAAGGUAGCGAAAUUCCUUGUCGGGU